rnacentral:rRNA from 1 species
AUUGAACGCUGGCGGCAGGCCUAACACAUGCAAGUCGAGCGGAUGAGGGAAGCUUGCUUCCUGAUUUAGCGGCGGACGGGUGAGUAAUGCCUAGGAAUCUGCCUACUAGUGGGGGAUAACGUUCCGAAAGGAACGCUAAUACCGCAUACGUCCUACGGGAGAAAGUGGGGGAUCUUCGGACCUCACGCUCAUAGAUGAGCCUAGGUCGGAUUAGCUAGUUGGUGAGGUAACGGCUCACCAAGGCGACGAUCCGUAGCUGGUCUGAGAGGAUGAUCAGCCACACUGGAACUGAGACACGGUCCAGACUCCUACUGGAGGCAGCAGUGGGGAAUAUUGGACAAUGGGCGAAAGCCUGAUCCAGCCAUGCCGCGUGUGUGAAGAAGGUCUUCGGAUUGUAAAGCACUUUAAGUUGGGAGGAAGGGCUGUAAGCUAAUAUCUUGCAGCUUUGACGUUACCAACAGAAUAAGCACCGGCUAACUCUGUGCCAGCCGCCGCGGUAAUAC